AGCCCACUGCAUCAGUGAUAUGAGAGCUAGCAAGUUUGGGGAGAGGGUGUAAGAAGUGCUAUAGGAGUAUAUAGCAAGUAAGUGGAUUUAUGUUUUUCAGGAAGAGUGAAACCCAGCCUCUGUUCUGUUUGGAAAUUCCUAAGUUUUAAUCUAAAGGCUGCUGGCCCAGAUCUUUCUUCAUGAGGCUGGAUUGACUACUAUGCAAGCCUUUCCUGGCAGAAAUUUGACUAUCAUGUUCCUGGAAACCAUCAGUGACAAAGAUGCCACAGCCAUCUCUGAUCUGCUGUGCUGCACCGACCACGGUAAGGACUGUGACCAGAGCUUCUGCAUUCCUUCAUCCUAACCAGUUUCCUCCUUGAUCAGUCCCUUGGGAUGGUACAGUUGUGUCACUGCAUGCUCAGUGAUGCUGGUGCCUCCUCCAGGUUGGUAAGGCCGAGAGAGAUACUUCACCCAGCCUACAACAUUUUGACAAGCAAGAAAAGCCACUGGGAACCUGUAACUUCUCCUCUUCAUACUAGAGCAAAGCAUGUCCUGGAUUUCCUGCUCUGGUAGGCUGCAAAAACCAUGGUUUUGGUGAGGACUUUAGCUCAAGUCCACAAUAAAGGGGUAGAAAAUGGUUUUGCAAGAGGGCUGACUGAGCUAGAAUGGAUUUGUUAAUGAUCUCUGAACACUCAAAGAAUUUGCUAGAACUUCCUGAAGCUAUUUCAUUUGUGGAAUAAAGACAUCCUUUCUCUGACAUCUAAGUAAAGUGCAAGGCAAACUCAUCUGCAUGCAGAGAUUUGUUCACUUGUGAAUCCCCUAAAGUCCUUCUCUAAUAAAACCCAGUCAUGUGGCUGUUUGCAGAUACCAGCAAACAAAAACACAAAACACAUCGCAAGAGACCAAGAUUUGGAUUUUUGCAACACAAUCACGCAUAAUUUUUCCUCAAUUGAUUGAGGCAGCUGAUUAGUAUUGAAUAAAACCAUUCCCCAAUUUGUAAUUACACUCUGCUUGCAUUAUUAUCUAUUUAUGCUGUUGGCCAUGCCCUAUUGUAAUUGUUCACCCCAUGGCUAGAUGUGGCUUUGUUCUCUCCUUUAUGCUAUCGCCUCUUUGCAGAUGCAGCCUUACAAUGAGCUAGUCCUGGGUGCUCCUAGUUCUUGUUUCUGCUCAACAUCUUGGAAAACUAAACAAACAAAAUCAGCCCUUCUAAACCCCUCAAGGCUGACAGACAAGAUGAGUAUGAAAUUUGCUAUGUCCCAGCAGUUGUUCUGUCUACUCAGGAGAAAUGCUGUCAGCUUUUCUUUGCAGUUAAUUUCUUAAAAAUCAUCCCCAUGAGGCAAGGAGGAGGCAUGGAAGCUUUACCAAAUAAAAAGCAAAAUCCUGUGUUGUCGUCCUUUCCUGGUUUUGUUCUGUUUUACCUGUGGAAAGUAAAAACACCCCAACUCUGAAAGAAGUAGGGAAAAAGAACAGGAGCUGGCUUCUGAUCUGCCCCAUGCUAGGGAGAUCAUAACUUUUCUUCGCUUUGUGUACUUUAUUGAAGCACUUUAAAAUAUAACAUCUGGAACUACAGGGAAGGUACACUGACAAGUAUAAUAAAGCAAUUUUUAAUAGGUA